rnacentral:rRNA from 1 species
GAACGAANUCNUUCGNGAUUUAGUGGCGGACGGGUGAGUAACGCGUGAGAAUCUGGCUUCAGGUCUGGGACAACCACUGGAAACGGUGGCUAAUACCGGAUGUGCCGAGAGGUGAAAGGUUAACUGCCUGAAGAUGAGCUCGCGUCUGAUUAGCUAGUUGGUAGAGUAAGAGCCUACCAAGGCGACGAUCAGUAGCUGGUCUGAGAGGACGAUCAGCCACACUGGGACUGAGACACGGCCCAGACUCCUACGGGAGGCAGCAGUGGGGAAUUUUCCGCAAUGGGCGAAAGCCUGACGGAGCAAUACCGCGUGAGGGAGGAAGGCUCUUGGGUCGUAAACCUCUUUUCUCAGGGAAGAACACAAUGACGGUACCUGAGGAAUAAGCAUCGGCUAACUCCGUGCCAGCAGCCGCGGUAAUACGGAGGAUGCAAGCGUUAUCCGGAAUGAUUGGGCGUAAAGCGUCCGCAGGUGGCAAUGUAAGUCUGCUGUUAAAGAGUCUAGCUCAACUAGAUAAGAGCAGUGGAAACUACAUAGCUAGAGUACGUUCGGGGCAGAGGGAAUUCCUGGUGUAGCGGUGAAAUGCGUAGAGAUCAGGAAGAACACCGGUGGCGAAGGCGCUCUGCUAGGCCGUAACUGACACUGAGGGACGAAAGCUAGGGGAGCGAAUGGGAUUAGAUACCCCAGUAGUCCUAGCCGUAAACGAUGGAUACUAGGCGUGGCUUGUAUCGACCCGAGCCGUGCCGUAGCUAACGCGUUAAGUAUCCCGCCUGGGGAGUACGCCGGCAACGGUGAAACUCAAAGGAAUUGACGGGGGCCCGCA